CGCUUUAAAAAGAUCAUUUGUAAAAAUGCAGUUUAACUCCAUCAAUGAUUUGACUGACCCUUCAAUGAGAGAAAAUGUUCUGAAACAGUUGGGAUCUGCUCUUGCUGAUAGAGGAUUCACAAAUAUGACACUGAGAUGGACUCAAACUCCUGAACGGGUGAUCCAGAGGAACAAUGCUAAACGUCGUUGUGGUUAAAGAAAAUUAACACUCUGGAGAUCAACACUUUCUUCAAUUCACUCAAUUCAUAUUCGAGACAAUGAAUCUGAUACUAAAUACAUUGGCGGAAAUAUCUUCAUAAUUAUGUGUUUACAAUAUAAAGACUCUUAAAGGACUUCUGCUUGCUUUCCCAGUAGCACAUCAUUGUAGAACACAAAAUCCAGGGGGCGGAGUUUGAUCCAGUUCU